ensembl:lncRNA
CCCGUCAGCGGGUGCGCGGCGUUGGGCCUGGCGGCGGCGGGCGCUUUGUUGUGCCUUCAGCCGCCGUGUUGCCCUCUAGCGCCCGGCUGCAGCCGCCGACUGGUACAGGGACCGACCCAGCUGUGAAUCAGCCGUCCGCAGCCAGGGGACGCGUUACGCUGUCAGACUUAGCUCAGUGCAACCGAAAGAAAAGGCGACACAAAAAGCCGCCCCGCCCCAGUCAGGAUUUAACACGAACUGUGGGGAAGAUGCAAUGAAUCCCCACAGAAGUAGUCCUUAAAAUGCGUUUGUGGAAAAAUUCGUGGCCCGGAGCUCCUCGCGCAGUCUGAACAUGCCCUGGAUCUAUUGUUUCCUUUGUCAGAUUUGGUUUUGGUCGUCAUUAUGGUAUACGGGAGCUGUUGGGGUGAGUCCUCAAUCCACUCAGAAAGUAAAACAAACCAAAAGCUUUCCCCUGUUCGGCUGGUGAGACUGCAGAACUGCCAAUGCAGUUUAUAGCCUACAAAACCUUAUGGCUUGCAGCGCACAUCUUACCCGACCCACAUCACCCAGAUCUCCCCGGCUACCUGCUGUGCCCAUCUCCUGGGCAUGGGGCUGGGCUGGUGUUAAGGAAAAAGGAUAGCACGUGGAUUUAGGUAGUUGGAUCGAGUGUACCCUCAGCAGUUUGCAGAUGACACCGAGCUGUGUGGUGCGGUUGACACACCUGAGGAUUCUACCAAAGAUAUGCUCGAGCAGUGGGCCCAGGAGAACCUCAUGAGGUUCAACAACGCCAGGCACGAGGUCUGCACAUGGGUCAUGCCAACCCCCACUACCAAUACAAGCUGGAGGAUAUAAGGAUGGAGCACAGCCUGUGUGAAAAGGACUUGGAAGUAAUGGACAUGAGUCAGCAGUGUGCCCUCACAACGCAGAAAGCUAACCGAAAGCUGCAUCGAAUGGAGUAUGGUCAGCAGGGAGAGAGAGGUGAUCCUGCCCUCUGCUCUGCACUGUGAGACCUCACCUGGAGUGCUGUGGCCAGACAGGAAGUCCUCUUUAUGAAGGAGAUAUGGACCUGUGGGAACACAUCCAGACGAGGGCCAUGUAAGUGAUCCAAGGGAUGGAAUGCCUCCCUGUGAGGACAGACUGAGAGAAAUGGGGCUGUUCAGACUGGAGAAGAGAAGGUGCUGAGGAGACCUGAGAGGAGCCUUUCAGAAUCUGACAGGGGGCUGUAAGAAAGAAGGGGACAGAGUCUCCAGCAGGGUAGUGGCGCUGGGACAGGUUGCCUGGAGAGGUGGUGGAUGCUCCAUCCCUGCAGACAUUCAACGCGUCAGGGUGGGGGCGCUCUGAGCAACCUGUAGUCGUCCCUGUUCAUUGCAGGGGAUUUGGAUUGGGUGACCUUUAGAAGUUCCUUCCAACUGAAAUUAUUCUGAUUUUAUCAGAUGAAGCCAUUUUGUGUGCAGUGCUUCCUGAUAGCACACUUUGUUUUCCCUGGUAGUAAAGCCAACACAAGCACUCUUUUGUUAGUGUCACUUGAAGCUCCUCCCUAAUUACAAACAAGCCUCACAUUCUUAUCCACUGUAAGUUACCCUGAUUACAGAUUUCUUACACGUAUUGCACAGAAUUCGAGACUCUUCUGAGGAGUGGGCAGCAACAAUUGCAGCUACUAUUUCUCUUCUGAUAAAAAAAUGAUUCACUGUUCCAGAUUGUGAGAAGAGAGAACAGUGGUAUUAUUGUGACUAUAGCUCAUUGUUACAUGAUUUAUACGAGGGCUGCUUGAAAGUAAUGCCUCCUAUUUUACUACGUUGGCCCAUGACGUCAGAGCAGAUGUUGUGGUGGUAUGGCAGGAGAAGUUGUACCUUCCCACAGUAUUCCACUACAUUUUGUUGCUUUGAGACGGAGGGGCAAGCUGAGAAAAUGGCACCUAACAUGGAAGUGAGCAUGAAGCAAAGAUGUGUCACUGAAUUCCUCCAAGUGGAAAAAAUGGCACCCAGUGACAUUCGCUCAUCUUUGCUGAAUGUUUAUGGAGACCAAACAGUGGAUGUGAGCACCGUGAUGAGGUGAAUGCUGUGCUUCAGCAGAGGCAACAGUGACGUGAAAGACAAGCCAUGUUCCAGAUGGCCAUGCAGACUUUGAUAAGCAUGGCACGCAGGCUGUUCAUUGCUGG